UACGAGGGGGGCAAGCGUUGUUCGGAUUUAUUGGGCGUAAAGGGUGCGUAGGCGGUUUGGCAAGUCUUAUGUGAAAUCUUUGGGCUCAACCCAAAGUCUGCAUAAGAAACUGCCGGGCUUGAGUAUGGGAGAGGUGAGUGGAAUUUCCGGUGUAGCGGUGAAAUGCGUAGAUAUCGGAAGGAACACCUGUGGCGAAAGCGGCUCACUGGACCAUUACUGACGCUGAGGCACGAAAGCUAGGGGAGCAAACAGG
rnacentral:rRNA from 1 species